GGACAGUUGAAAGCAGGCGAACACUUGAUCUGGAAGUGUCGCCCUGUCACGGCGGAAGUUGCGGGUUCGAGCCCCGUCUGUCCCG
rnacentral:tRNA from 8 species